UAAGAUCCCUGAAAGAUGAUCAGGUUGAUAGGUCUGAGGUGGAAGUGUGGCGACACAUGGAGCUGACAGAUACUAAUCGAUCGAGGACUUAACCA
rnacentral:rRNA from 1 species